GGUCCCCAGGACAGGCUUCUGACUUACCCAGUAGCUGAACAUGAUCUCCUCUUUGCUGGCCUCCAGCUCUCUUCCACAUUGAAGGACGUAUGAAAUCAGUGGUUUCAGAUGUACACAAGAGAAUCAAACUGUAACAUCCCACCUCACACAUUAUGCUGAAAGUGCAUAUGUAGAGUUUGGAGCAAAAAUGAGAUUGGAGUGAGGUGGAGAGGAAAUAGACAUAAGGGAGUCAGAGAAGCCGUAGUCCUCCACCCCAUAGGAUUUGCUUUCCGCAGCUUCAGUAACCAGAAGUCAAAAGCGUUGAAAGCCAUGCUCCUCCUUCUGAGGAACCCUCAGAAGGUGAGCAGUCGCCUAACUCUACGUCACAGUGCCUACGCCAUUUCCCUCACGUCCUCUCACCACGUAGGCAUUUUAUCAUCUCACCUCCUCAUGAGAAGUAUGAGUGCCGCACCACAAGAUGACAUGAUUCUUUAUAUGGAAAACCCAAAA